CGGGAAGCAGCAGUAGGGAAUCUUCCACAAUGGACGAAAGUCUGAUGGAGCAAUGCCAUGUGAACGAUGAAGGUCAUAAAGAUCGUAAAGUUCUUUUAGGGGGGAAAACUCUGAUGGUACCUCCUGAAUAAGUGACAGCAAACUAUGUGCCAGCAGCUGCGGUAAUACAUAGGUCGCGAGCGUUAUUCGGAUUUAUUGGGCGUAAAGCAAGCGCAGGCGGAUUGAUAAGUUCUGUAUUAAAAGCAGCUGCUCAACAGUUGUUUGUACCGAAUACUGUCAGUCUAGAAUUUGGUAGGAAGUUUUGGAAUUAAACAUGGAGCGGUGGAAUGUGUAGAUAUGUUUAAGAACACCAGAGGCGAAGGCGAAAACUUAGGCCAUAAUUGACGCUUAGGCUUGAAAGUGUGGGUAGCAAAUGGGAUUAGAUACCCCAGUAGUCCACACCGUAAACGAUGGGUAUUAGAUGUUGGGACUUGUGUCUCAGUGUCGUAGCUUACGUGUUAAAUACCCCGCCUGGGUAGUACAUAUGCAAAUAUGAAACUCAAAGGAAUUGACGGGGACCUGAACAAGUGGUGGAACAUGUUGCUUAAUUCGAUUCUACACGAAAAACCUUACCAAGGUUUGACAUCCCCAGCGAAGGUAUAGAAAUAUAUUGGAGGUUAUCUGGGUGACAGGUGGUGCAUGGUUGUCGUCAGCUCGUGUCAUGAGAUGUUUGGUUAAGUCCCGCAACGAGCGCAACCCUACUUCUUAGUUGUUUGUCUAAGUUGACUGAAUCGUAAGAUAUAGGAAGGUUGGGAUCACGUUAAAUCAUCAUGCCCCUUAUGCCUUGGGCUGCAAACGUGUUACAAUGGUGAGUACAAUGUGCAGCAAACUAGCGAUAGCGAGCAAAUCACUAAAACUCAUCUCAGUCCGGAUAAAAGGCUGCAAUUCGCCUUUU
rnacentral:rRNA from 1 species